UUUUCUUUUUAUCGACCACCGUGUGUCCGUGUAGUGUAUACUCCAACUUUAUAUAUCCUUAUACUUUACUGAUGAGUCCUAGUUUCACUUAGUUUACGUAUUCACAAAAAGUACAUUUAUAUAAUAUUCCACGGUUCAUUUUCCAUACAUCGCGGAUUUUGUUGAAGUCUUAUGUAUUAAAAAAAUAAUAGUCGAAUUCAGGGCGGACGGUGUGUCCGGCGUAUUCAUCGACGGUCGACGGGUAAGCAUCGACCGCGAUAGAGUAUACUUUCUCUUAUUGCCAACGCAUAGACACACACUAUCAUAUAUUUCUGUACGCACGCAAACUCCCUCGAAUAUACACAGGUCGGUGAUUUAUAGGCGGCUUGUUUACAUACGGUGAAUGGUUUCUAGUAUGGGCUACAGUCGAAACCCGGUUAUGGCCGCGAGAGACCGUAGACGAGGACGGGACAGACGAAGUCGGAGUCCAAUACGUAGACGUGGUGGUCGUGGGGGAAGAGGUGAUCCUGGAGCGAAUUUACGUAAACCACGAUGGGAUACGAAAAAACUGGAACCAUUUAAAAAAGAUUUCUAUUUGCCACACGAAACAGUACAUAACAGAUCAAAAGCUGACAUAGAAAAAUACAGAGAAGAAAAAGAAAUAACAUUAGUUGGCGAUAAUAUUCCUAAACCAAUACUUAAGUUUGAUGAAAGUGGCUUUCCCGAAAUAAUUAUCAAAGAAUUAAAGAAACAAGGUUUUGUCGAACCAACUGCUAUCCAAGCCCAAGGAUGGCCAAUAGCAUUAUCUGGUAAUAACUUGGUUGGUAUUGCUUCUACUGGUUCUGGAAAAACAUUAUCGUAUAUUAUACCUGCAUUGAUACAUAUUUCUCAUCAACGAAAAUUGUCACGAGGUGAUGGACCAAUUGUAUUAGUUUUAUCUCCUACUCGAGAACUUGCCCAACAAAUACAGACUGUUUGUGAUGAUUUUGGUGAUGCUUUUGGAGUUAGUAGUACGUGUUUAUUUGGUGGAGCACCUAAAGGUGGUCAAGCAGCUGACUUGAGCCGUGGAGUUGAAUUAGUUAUUGCUACACCUGGACGUUUAUUGGACUUCCUUGAAAGCGAACGUACGAAUAUGUGUCGCUGCACAUACCUUGUUUUAGAUGAAGCUGAUCGAAUGUUAGACAUGGGUUUUGAACCUCAGAUUCGAAAAAUUAUUGAUCAAAUAAGACCAGAUAGACAAGUAUUAAUGUGGUCUGCAACAUGGCCCAAAGAAGUAAAAAAUUUGGCUGAAGAAUUUUUAGACGAAUACAUACAAAUAAAUAUUGGUUCGUUAACCUUGGCAGCUAACCAUAAUAUUCAACAAAUUGUUGAAGUUUGUCAGGAAUAUGAUAAAGAAACAAAGUUAAUAUCACUUUUAAAAAAGAUAAUGGAUGGAGAUGAAAAUAAAACUAUUGUUUUCAUAGAAACUAAACGGCGAGUAGAUGAAAUUACAAGAAAAAUUAAAAGACACGGGUAUUCAGCUGUAUGUAUUCAUGGAGACAAAUCUCAGUAUGAAAGAGACAAUGUUUUGAAAGAUUUUAGAGAUAGCCGUUAUCCUAUAUUAGUUGCUACAGAUGUGGCUGCUCGUGGACUUGAGGCACACACAAGCUGUACAAUGCGUACUAAAUUUAAAAAAUACUUAAAAAAUGUAUCAAUGUUGUCGCAUUGUCGACGCUGUGCCUCAAAAAAGGACAUGCAUAAAUUAUUGCGUGUCGGUCUAUCUGUGUGAUCGUGGCGGCUCUGGCUACACCAGUAGUUUGAGUGGUUUCGCACUGGUGGCAACGUGGGGCUAGUCAUUCCACACUGCUGCCCCCCCCAACUGCCGCCUCGAUCUGUCGUGUGUGUGUUGUGACGUGUCCAACGUCAAUCGUUGUCCCGUGUGGGGCGCUUAAACACGUACACCGGAUGUCGAUGAUGUGGAAGAUGUGAAGUUUGUUAUCAAUUUUGACUAUCCAAAUAACUCUGAAGACUAUGUGCAUCGUAUUGGUCGAACUGGUCGAUCCCAC
rnacentral:misc_RNA from 1 species